UACGUAGGGUGCAAGCGUUAAUCGGAAUUACUGGGCGUAAAGCGUGCGCAGGCGGUUUUGUAAGACUGUCGUGAAAUCCCCGGGCUCAACCUGGGAAUGGCGAUGGUGACUGCAAGGCUAGAGUUUGGCAGAGGGGGGUAGAAUUCCACGUGUAGCAGUGAAAUGCGUAGAGAUGUGGAGGAACACCGAUGGCGAAGGCAGCCCCCUGGGCCAAUACUGACGCUCAUGCACGAAAGCGUGGGGAGCAAACAGG
rnacentral:rRNA from 1 species